rnacentral:rRNA from 1 species
UACCAGCACCCCGAGUGGUCGGGACGAUUAUUGGGCCUAAAGCAUCCGUAGCCGGUUCUACAAGUCUUCCGUUAAAUCCACCUGCUUAACUGAGAAACUGCCAUUGAUACUGCAGGUCUUGAGUACAGAUGAUGUUGGCGGAAUAUGACAUGUAGCGGUGAAAUGCAUAGAUAUGUCAUAGAACACCGAUUGCGAAGGCAGCUGACAAAACUGUAACUGACGCUGAGGCACGAAAGUGUGGGGAUCAAACAGG